ACUCCUACGGGAGGCAGCAGUGGGGAAUAUUGCACAAUGGGCGCAAGCCUGAUGCAGCCAUGCCGCGUGUGUGAAGAAGGCCUUCGGGUUGUAAAGCACUUUCAGUCGUGAGGAAGGUAGUGUAGUUAAUAGCUGCAUUAUUUGACGUUAGCGACAGAAAGAAGCACCGGCUAACUCCGUGCCAGCAGCCGCGGUAAUACGGAGGGUGCGAGCGUUAAUCGGAAUUACUGGGCGUAAAGCGCAUGCAGGUGGUUUGUUAAGUCAGAUGUGAAAGCCCGGGGCUCAACCUCGGAAUAGCAUUUGAAACUGGCAGACUAGAGUACUGUAGAGGGGGGUAGAAUUUCAGGUGUAGCGGUGAAAUGCGUAGAGAUCUGAAGGAAUACCGGUGGCGAAGGCGGCCCCCUGGAACAGAUACUGACACUCAGAUGCGAAAGCGUGGGGAGCAAACAGGAUUAGAUACCCUGGUAGGAUAGCG
rnacentral:rRNA from 1 species